AAAGAUAAACUUGAUAAGGGGGAAUAGGAAAGUUUCACUUGUCACCAAGAUUGGAGUUUAUACUUUGUUGCUUAAUAGUGGAUUUACUUUAGAUUUGAAUAAGUGUUGUUAUUCACCAGAAAUGGCAAGAAAUGAUAUUUCCUUUCAUGCUUUCUAUAAACAAGGUUUUACCUUUUCUUUUCAUAAUGAAAUUGGUGGAAUAAAUGCUUUCUUUAAUAAUGUGUUUUAUUUUAAAGCAUUACCUUGUGACGGUGUGUAUGANGUUGUAGAUAACCUAGGAAAUAAUGUAUUGUGUAUUGAUUCUACUAAUGAUAAUAACUUGGAUAAAGCAUCAUUAUGGCAUUGUCGUCUUGGACAUAUAAGCAAGAAACGCAUAGGCCAACUCCAAAAGGAUGGAGUCUUGGAAUCAUUUGACCUAAAGUCAGAUGAUAGUUGUGAAUCAUGCUUACUUGGAAAAGUGACAAAGUCACCCUUCAUAGGUUCUUGUGCUAGGGGUGAAGGUUUGUUGGAUCUUGUAUAUACGGAUGUGUGUGGACCCUUCAAACAUGCCACAAGAGAUGCUAAUCGUUAUUAUGUGACUUUUACUGAUGAUUACAGUAGAUAUGGAUAUGUCUACUUAAUCAAACAUAAGUCAGAGACUUUUGAAAGGUUUAAAGAGUUUAAACUGGAAGUCGAGAAUCAAUUGAGCAGGAACAUUAAGAUGCUUCGAUCCGAUCGUGGUGGUGAGUAUCUUAGUACAGAGUUCCUCGACUAUCUUAGGGAAUGUGGGAUUGUCUCACAAUUGACACCUCCCAGGACACCGCAGUUGAAUGGUGUGGCUGAGAGGCGUAAUCGAACCUUGUUGGAUCAGGUUCGUUCCAUGAUUAGUCGAGCUUCGCUACUAAUCUAAUUUUGGGGGUAUGCCUUAGAGACUGCCACCCAUAUCCUUAAUCUGGUCCCUACAAAGAAGGUUGCCAAAACACCUCAGGAGAUGUAGACUGGAAAAGUUCCUAGUCUAGCCCACAUCAAGGAUUGGGGUUGCGAGGCUUUCGUGAGACGCGAGACUCGUGACAAGCUCGAAGCUCAAAGUGAGAGGUGUAUUUUCAUCGGCUACCCACAAAAAUCCUUUGGUUACCUCUUUUACAGACCUAGUGAGAACGUGAUCUUUAUAGCAAGGAGGGCUUUCUUUCGAGAGAGAAAGUUCAUAAGCCAAGGAAACAGUGGGAGGCUAAUUGAACUUGAACAACUUCAAGAGUGAAGUGGUGAAGGAACCUCAAACCCUAGUAGCCAACUUGAGGAGGAAACUCCUGUUGUACCUUGAAUUGUACCUCUGAGGUGUUCCAAAAGUGUUAGGAAUGUACCUGAGCAUUACUAUGGAUUCGAUAUUACUAGGGAAGGUGAUACACUUAUCAGUGAUGAGACAUUCAUAGGUCUAGAUGAACCUAACAGCUAUGCGGAAACCAUGGCAGACCCCGAGUCUGCUAAAUGGAAAGAGGCAAUGGAUAGAGAGAUACAUUCCAUGUAUGACAAUCAGGUCUGGGAGUUGGUUGACAAUGUACCAGGUCGUAAGACAGUUGGGUGCAAAUGGAUCUUCAAGAAGAAGACCGACAUGGAUGGUAAUGUACACACCUAUAAGGCACGACUGGUUGCAAAGGGCUUUUCUCAAACUCUAGGAGUUGAUUAUGAUGAGACCUUUUCACCAGUAGCCAAGAUUUAGUCUAUUAGGGUAUUGUUAGCCACAGUUUCAUUUCAUGACUAUGAAAUAUGGAAAAUGGAUGUCAAAACCGCUUUCCUUGAUGGAAAGUUGGCUGAGGAUGUCUACAUGAAUUAGCCAGAAGGUUUUGUCAGAACAGAGUACCCUAAUAGAGUGUGUAAGCUUGAGAAAUCCAUUUAUGGAUUAAAGCAAGCACCUCGCAGAUGGAAUCUUUGCUUUGAUGAGAAAGUCAAAGGGUUUGGAUUUUCGAGAAGUGAAGAUGAAUCUUGUGUAUAUGUUAAGGAUAGUGGGAGUAUAGUUAGCUUUUUGGUACUGUAUGUGGAUGACAUACUACUCAUAGGAAAUGACAUCCCAACUCUACAAGAAUUGAAGUCCUGGUUUAGGAAGUGUUUUGCUAUGAAGGACCUAGGAGAAGCUGCCUAUAUUCUAGGGAUAAGGAUCUUGAGAGACCGGAGUAAAAGACUAAUUGCACAUAGUUAGAGUACAUACUUGGAUAAGGUGCUUAAGAGAUUCAGCAUGCAAGAUUCCAAGAAAGGAGAGUUACCCAUCUAGAGUAACACUAGACUGAGUAAGACUCAGAGCCCGAGUACUGAGGUAGAGAUAGCUGCAAUGAAUCGUAUACCUUAUGCUUCGGCAGUAGGCUCGAUCAUGUAUGCUAUGACCUGUACUCGUCCUAAUGUAGCCUUUGCUUUAAGCAUGGUUAGCAGGUAUCAGGGGAACACUUGUAAGGCUCACUGAACAGCUGUAAAGAAUAUUCUCAAGUACCCGCGGAGGACUAAGGACUAGGUCCUUACCCUUGGUGGGAGUGACGACUUCAGAUUUGUAGGGUAUAGUGAUGCUAGCUUCCAGACUGAUAGGGAUAAUUUCUGCUCUCUCUUGGGCUGGGUCUUUACCUUAAAUGGAGGAGCAAUCUCUUGGAAAAUUUCCAAGCAGGAGACAGUGGUUGAUUCAACUUGCGAAUCAGAGUACAUAACGGCAAGCGAGGCGGAAAAAGAGGCUAUAUGGCUAAAGAACUUCAUUGGAGAUCUUGGAGUUGUACCAGCUAUAUCGAAGCCCAUAGAGAUUUUCUAUGAUAGUGAAAGUGCAGUUGCCUUAGCAAAGGAACCAAGGGAUCAUGGGAGAUCCAGACACAUUGACAGAAAAUAUCAUUUCAUCAGACAUCGUAUAGAAGAAGGACUCGUCGUGGAAAAGAGGGUAUCAUUAGAUGAGAACCCGGCAGAUCCCCUCACGAAGGGACUGGGUAGGGUUAAGCAUAUCCAACAUGCUAGGAGCAUAGGGCUGAAGGAUGAUAUAAGUUUUAGUAGUUAGAUAAUUCUAAAAUAUGUAAAAUGUAUUUGACAUUUGAUGAUGAAUAAAAUUUGUGUUUAUUCAUGAGUAAAGUGUUGCUAUCUUUUGUCAAUCGUUUACUAUUAUUUCUUUUGGAUGUUUUGACUUCCCGAAUAUUUAUGUUUUGUUUUUACAUAUUAUUCAAAUUAUCCACAGUCGGUCAUAUGUCGGGAGUAGAUAUGAAUUAAGACCGUCAUGAGUUGGUUGUAGAGGUCUAAGGUGUUGGACAUGGCCUCAACACUCAUGAGUGCUCAUAAGUUCUGAGUAUUGGAUUCAACCCACGCUCGCUGGUAUCACUUCAUGGAAUUUAUCUCGAGUGACCGUGAGACGGUAAUAUCGUAUAAGUCUUCAAACCUAGAGAUAUGAUUUGUUACUUACGAGUUGGUUAUGCAUUGAUGGUACAAAAACGCAUUGGUAACUUGAUGUUAUAAAACGUGCUUUGUGUAUAAUUCAAUGAGUGGUAGAACAAACAUAUGAGUCGAAGUUUAUCUGUUCCUUCUUGGAUUAGAAGUUGAUAUCAGGGCCCCUCGAUGAUUUUGUUUUGACCUAUGUAUCGGUUCCAGUCAGAGCUAAGUUGAUGUGUUCAAUUAAGUUUUAUGUCAAACAAAUCGGACGGGAAACAANUGCUGGGCAAUAAGCAAGACUAUGUUCCAUGUAUUUGUCCAGCUGAUAUCUAGAACAGAGGAUUAUAUGAUCCCUUAUCUUAAAUGGCGUACCAUCAUCUUCUUAGUUCCGAGAAACCUUGAAAAGAGCUACGAUUGCCGAUCGGUACCUGAAGUCAUACUUGCAGUUAUACUUAUUAGACUUGUCCAAGUGGGAGACUGUUGGAUAAGGUGUCUAAGUCCAUAACUAUUUCUGGUAUGUACUUGACCCGACCCGGCAUGGUCCAUUUGGGUUGCAUGGCACCAUGCAAUUGGAUAGACUAAAUGAGAGAAAUAACACUUGUGGUUUAUUAAUAUAUUAUAAGUUCUAAUAUAUUAAUAAUAUUAUUUAAUUAGUUUGAUCAAGAAUUAAUUUUAGAAUUAAUUAAGUGAUCAAAAAAUAACUAAUUAAAUAUAUGGGUUGAUUAUGUAAAUCAUCCAUAACUUAUAUAGUGGGCUAAUAGGCUCCAUGGAUAAUCAAGUUGGGUUGAACCCAUUGGAUGCUCCAUGGAGGCUCCAUGGGAUUUACAAACCCAUGGGUCAUGGAAAUGAAGAGUCAUGACACAUUAGGGUUUACAUGGUGUAACCCUAGAUGUGCCAACACUAUAUAAAGCUAAUGUUUCUCCCAAAAUCGCUUACACGUGCAUGCUUGAGGGCUAGAGCCAAUUUUUAGAGUGUUAUACUUUCUCUCCAAGUUUACUCCAUAGCAUUUGGUGUUGUGUGAAUCAUUUGAGGCAUCACACUUGGGGUGCUAGGCUUACAAGGUUUCAAGGAUCAAACUCAACAACAAGGUAUGUAGUUCUAUCUUUCAUUUUAAAAUUGUUCCCCAUGUAUGCUAGAUAGGAUCAUAACCUUGGAAAUCAACUUUGCAUGAGAUUUAGACAAACAUAGAUCCAAGGUUAUUAGGGUUGCAUGUAUACUUAGGAAGUGUGAGAAUGCUUAAAACCCAUCAGGGUCAACCAAACCUUGUUUAAAUUUGGAAAAUUUCAAUAAUCGAGUAAGGGUUUCAUACCACGCUCCGGGAGCCUGCUUCAGGCCAUAUACCGCCUUGUCCAGAAUGCAGCAGUAAUCUGGAUACUUCUCGUUCACAAAGCCUGGAGGUUGCUCUACAUACACCGUUUCUUCAAGUUCUCCAUUGAGAAAGGCACAAUUCACGUCCAUUUGAUAGACUUCGAAACUUUUGUGUGCAACAUAAGCAAGAAAGACUCGAACCGAUUGUAAUCUUGCAAAUGGAGCGAAGGUCUCUUCAUAAUCUAUGCCUUCUUCUUGACAAUAGCCUUUCACAACCAACCGAGCCCUGUUGUGAAUUACGUUUCCUUCCUUGUCCAUCUUAUUCCUGAAAAACCCACUUUAGUCCUACAAGCGAAGCAUCCUUUAGAGUUGGAAUUAGUCGCCAUACUUUGUUUCGUUCAAACUCGUUCAGCUCAUCUUUCAUAGCUUGAACCCAAUCAGAAUGAUCAAGAGUUGUAUUCACCAUCUUCGGUUCAACUUUGGAGACAAACGAGUUGAGCAUACAAAAUUCUACUUGAGAGAAUAGUGGAGCCUGAUUUGCUUUCAGCGGUGAUCGAGUUAAGUCCUUUUCAGAUGAUUCUCCAAUAAUUUGACUUUGAGGAUGAUCUUUGGUCCAUUUGAUGAGAGGAGGGUAAUUUGGAUCAAAAGAGGGAUUCAGUUCUGCGUUUAUUUCUUCUUCAAGUUAUGAUUGACUAUCAUCAUCAUCAUUCGUAUUUGCAUUCUCCCCCUCGAAUGACGAUAUGAGUUCGAUGUCGGGUUCAGAAUACUCCCCUUCGAUUAGACUUUCGGUUGGACUUGAUGAGGAUUUACCCUACCCCUAGACUAGUGACUUAGAAUUAUCUUGUAACACCGUAAAUUUCAAGACAAAAUUUUCAUUUUAAAUAAUCAUUUUAUUCUUAGAACACUUGUUAAAAAUCUCAUUCAUAAUCAAAUUACAAAACAUAGCUCCAUUUUCACUUGCAUAGAAAACCAGGAUCCUCCAAAAUAUGACUCUUGCUCUGGUGUGUACAAUCAAGCCGGUGCCGUACCGUGAUACUGAAAGAAACCUGAAAACAACAUAACACAAAACACUGUAAGCACGAAGCUUAGUGAGUUCCCCAAAAUACCACACACAUAACACAUAUAAGCCACUCGAGGCUAUAACUCUAUGGGUCCGUGCACCCAAACUCUGUGAACCCUCAGGUUCUAACUCUGUGAACCUUCCGGUUCUAACUCUAGGAACCCUUCGGUUCCAACUCUGCAAACAUGCACAGCAUAAAUCACAUAGAAAUAAUGCAGUACAACACAUAACAUACAUAGCAUAGAAAUACUCUGUCACAUAACUCUGGUUACCUACUCAAGGUAAAGUAUAGUGAGAAGACUCACCUGGCAAGUAAAAGCAGAUAUCUCCAUACUCGGAUCUCGAACUCGCCACCGCCUAACACGUAAGGCAAAACUCUCAUGACUAUAACUCUCGAGACUAGAAUCAAUCCUCUCAAUGCACCCUCUUAAGGGUAAAAGACUAUUUUACCCCUCUCUUGGCCCAAAGGCCACAUCGCUGACCAAACCCUAAAAGUCAACGGUCAACCCUUGGUCAAAAUCAAAGUCCUCAGUCAAAGUCAACCCUGACUGACCCUACUCGCCGAGUCAACUCUAUGACUCGCCGAGUUUCUAUAAUCAGAACUUCACUCAAUCCGCGACCUAACUCGCCGAGUCACUCCGAGACUCGCCGAGUCCAACAACUCUGAGUCCACUCGCACACAACUCACCGAGUCAUCCCUUGACUCACCGAUUCUCGACUCAACCAGGGAAUAUCGGGACUCUUCGACAAGACUCGCCGAGUCCAAGAACAGACUCGCCGAGUCCAAGACUAUCAUCAACCUACUCGCCGAGUUGUUCAUACAACUCGCCGAGUUCCAGGCCAUCUUCAUCCAACUCGUCGAGUACACCCAUGUGACUCGCCGAGUACCACCGGUCUGAAUCCAUUCGGAAGCAUUCCAGGCCAUGCAAUUGCUCCAAAACAUAGAUCUAGCCUCCUACCACUCAUCCAUCACGUAAAGUGGCAAACUUUACGUGAAUCCAAAGAGAUCUAGGCCAUUUGCACAUUGGGCUAGGGUUUGGGACAUGAAAGCUUCACUAAACACUCCAACACAGGGACUUUCAUGCUCUCUGAUUCUUCUCCCUUCUAGAUCUGAGGUAGCAACCUCAGAUCUAACCUCUAGACUUCCCAUUACAUCCAUAGACAAGUUCCCACAAACCCCAAAAUGAAGAAACACAUAAUAACAGCCCAAGAACGAGAUAUUACCUCCAAGAGAUGCCCCAACUGCAAUGUAAUUCGAAUCCAAGCAAAGCCCCUUGCUCCAAGCCUUCAAUCUCCCAAAAUUCCUUCAACAAUUACUUCUCCAAGCUCCAAUCCACUCAACAAUGGUGCUUCUCCGCGAUUUAGGGUUUUCUGGGGCUCAAGGGGUGAUAAGGAGGCUGGGAGGAAAACAUAAUGUUCUUUAUAUAGGGCUCAACCCCGAGAAUUAGGGUUUUCUCCAAUCAGCGCCUACUCGUCGAGUCCUCCUCACUGACUCGCCGAGUCGGCUACUUAGCACGCGACCCAGUCGCGACUCUACUCGCCGAGUCCAUCCAUGGACUCGCCGAGUCACUCUUUCACAACUUACUCUUUUAGCCCUUCAACUCUACUCUUGAUAUUUCGGGAUGUUACAAUUCUCCCCCACUUAAAUUAUGCUUCGUCCUCGAAGCCUAUGGCAACUCAACUACAAAAUACUCCCACGGCGCGCCACCUGGCCCUAACUGGACCAGGUUCAUCAAAGCAUAACCAUCGAACUCGAACUCACUUCCUCUUUCCUUGCGGUGUCCUGACCACCGUCUCAAACCGGGCACCGGCUGUACCCUCUGAUAAUCACACUCAACAAUCGAGAAUUACCCGAGAUGUAUCACUGCUCCAAAUAUCAACAACCGAUCGACCCAUAAGGGCUAGAAAGCCAUGAACCAUCGGAUCCCCGAUCCGAAUCCCACCUUAUCCAUUCCGGAACGACUGAGAGACCCAUUCUCACUCUCAGAGCAACUCUCAUGAGUUCUCCUCUUGCAAUCACAUGCACAUGCUGAACUAGCUCCAACACCCUCAGGUUGGAAAACUCGAUACACCGAUGAUAUCCUCAAACAUCCCCCCCAAGAUGAACCACUAGUACAUAUCCAAUACCCUGAUCAGAAUCAAGCUGGGAGUCCCCGACUCCCUCCCUGCAUUCAUCCUGAGACUCUUGGCCCUACUCUCACGGAACCCCUUCCGCGUCCUCAGCAGACAUCCCAACAUGAUGUCACUCCAUACCACUGUCACAGACACAAUGUUCAACCACCAUACUCCAAAUCAUCCACUCUCACUACUACUUUCACUUCCAUGAACCAACACUCCCCCCCCCGGGGUUACAUACCUUUCUCUUCCCUUACCCAGGGAAACCACUAGCCAACCUUGCCACUACUCCAUGCAUCACACAUGCGCUGGAUCUGCUCGCAAGGGCCCUCGGGUCCAUGCGCUACCUCUCCCCAAGAAAUGAGGGUCCGACACCUCCUCCCAUACAACAGCUCAAAGGGUGGCAUACACAUGCACUAAUGAUGGCUGUUGAUAUAGGAUAACUCAACUAAAGAUAAAUACGUGCCGCAACUCCCUCCGAGAUCUAAUACACAUGCCCGAAGCAUGUCUUCGAGCGUCUGAAUCGCUCGUUCGCUCUGAAGUGUCCUCAGACAUCAUCAUGAUCCAAAUAACCCACUAACUUCCUCCCCGUGACCACUAUCCCGGCCCAGGGACGCGCAAGUCACAAAAUUCUCUUUUCCUCAUGCGAGAAAAUACAAUCCAACCGAGGAUCGCCUAAACUCUAAUCUCUGGUUUCUGCUGCGCAUAUCCCUUGCGCACCUCACCGCAUCUCCCGACAGAGACGGUGACCCCAGUCUCGCCCCCGGUUCAACACCCAGGCUCCAGAACUCAAUACUAGGGAUACUCAAGCCCAAAACUCUUCCACAUCAUACACUGAUCGGAGAUCAUUCCAUCAUCACAUUCUCUUGCCAUCUAGUGAGUACUACGGCUCCCCGCAGUAUCACAACACCCUCUAACUAGUGAGUACUACGGCUCCCCGCAGUAUCACAACACCCUCUGACUAGUGAGUACUACGGCUCCCCGCAGUAUCACAACACCCUCUGACUAGUGAGUACUACGGCUCCCCGCAGUAUCACAACACCCUCUGACUAGUGAGUACUACGGCUCCCCGCAGUAUCACAACACCCUCUGACUAGUGAGUACUACGGCUCCCCGCAGUAUCACAACACCCUCUGACUAGUGAGUACUACGGCUCCCCGCAGUAUCACAACACCCUCUGACUAGUGAGUACUACGGCUCCCCGCAGUAUCACAACACUCUCUGACUAGUGAGUACUACGGCUCCCCGCAGUAUCACAACACCCUCUGACUCCACUAGUUCAUGCUCCGCAGACUAUCACAGGUAGCUACCCAUACUCGGCUCGAAUACACAUUCCAGACUCUGGAAGCAAUCGACAUAUCAAAAUGCCCACCCUUGCGAAGUUCCAUUCUCUUAAUAAUCUCCCUGGAUGCCCAUACUCGAAGGGCUCCCACUAGAUCCGUAGAUACCUGAUACACCACAAAUCGUUUCAACUCAAGAUUUACGAGUAACUCCGAAAUAAAGGUAUCAUACCCGGAUACCUCAGAAUAUCCCAACAGAACAUCACAAGAUCCUGCCACAACCACUGAUUCCCUUACUCCCAAUACCAUACACUCACGACAAUACAUUUCCUUUGAAUCCCAUAAUAAUUUCUGAUAUCACACGAUGCGCAACUUCAGUGCAUCCAAACACUCAAUUGGAAUACAAGGAAGGCGCUAACCCUUCAGAACACACUGAUGAUCCUCCGAAACCCUUUCCACUACCACUCAAAAUUCAAGCAAGAAUACACAUCCUAGCCCGGGAAUUGGCUACUCGAUAAUCGGCUACCCAUAUCUCAACCCAGAAGUUCUCAACUGCCCAUACCAUCAUUACGAGCCUUCCACUUGAGACGACUCUGACCACCAUCAGAUUCCUGAUCGUUGACCACCCGCCGUGGAGACACCCAUCCUUCUCUUAGACAUAUAUCACAUGCAUUAUCUCGCCCUGCACCUUCCUUAAUCACCCAUGACCCUGAUCUCAUGAAUUCAAGCCGCAGGUUCUGCAUCCAACCCCUAACCGCUCCUUGCACCAAUCUCUGGUUCUCUCAAUAAACCACCCAGUUCUCCCCCACUUAGGGUUCGAACCAUCACUAUCUGACACAUCAACAACCUCACGAACUAUUUCCACCAGCAAUAACGCACCUGCCCCUGGAAAGUGCUACGCAACACCCGAUAAUCCCCUUUAAGGAAAUUAAUCGAUCUCAUAACUCUGAUCCUCAGAUGAACUCCUCAAGAACUUUUCGCCACGACUGCCUCUAGUCGUUCCAAAUCUCGUACCAAUCAAGUACCAAACAACUCAACUGCUCAAUAACAUCCCUGGCUCAUAGACCGAACCACAAAAUCAUUGUACCCCUCACCUCAACUCAUCAAACAUCGCUCCAACACCGGGAUCAUCCCAAGAACAGGGACCCACUCCCAUAUUCAACACCCAACAUAGAUAGAAAACUCUCUGCACUGUUAAACUCGACUGAACUCCCCACUGAUACCACUAUAAUACAUCCUACUAUACUCAAAUAGGUGUAGUGUGGUCCUCGACUAUCUCAGUCCCAACUGACUAUCUGCUCAUGACAAAUCACUGCCUCGCGGCACACAUGCUACCUGAUACUCUGGAAGAAAUCAUCAUCAAUAACGACCUGCAGGGUUUACCCCCAAACCCAAAACUAAAACAUCAGGCCUUUCAUGUUCCGCACACGAACAUAAAUAGCACCACUCACAUAGAAGGUGACCUCUCCUCUAUCGACUGAUUGCUCAACUCAGACCGAAAUUCUCCUCUCCCUCUAACUCCUUACCAAAAUACUCUGAUAGGCUCUCGCCUUCCCUCUCGAGGGACGCCUCUCCAAAUUCAAUCAUGGCCUACAGGCCUAAAACCCAUAGCGUCCAAUCUCUACCUCAUCAAUCGUGAUCGGAUAACCAGAGAAUCACAAGCAUCAUUCACUACGAACCAUGGUACUCAUCCCAUGACAUCUCUUCUCAAUAUGCUCCGGUGUAUGGUACCCGAACCAUAGCAUCACUCCUCCAUCUGCUCCGAUGUAUGAUACUCGAACCAUAACAUCACUCCUCAAUCUGCUCCGAUGUAUGGUACUCAACCAUAUCAUCACUCCUCAAUCUGCUCCGAUGUAUGGUACUCAACCAUAACAUCACUCCUCAAUCCGCUCCAAUGUAUGGUACUCGAACCAUAACAUCACUCCUCAAUCUGCUCUGAUGUAUGGUACUCGAACCAUACAUCACUCCUUAAUGCGCUCAUUAGAAUCUUCAGAAUACUCCCUGUAUCAAGUAUGGGUCCUCUGCUUUCAGUAGUACGGGCCCAUACUACCUUCCACAUCUACCCAUACUUUCCACACGGACUAUCCCGGAGCUCCUAAGUAGCUGCUCGACCUUCUCGUUCAGCAAUUCCAUCACGCGCUCGCUCCCCAGCGAAAUUCUCUACCCUGCCAGUGCACUCAUCUGGCUAAGGUUACUCCCUAGGCUCUUCUUAGAUUCCCACACUUCUCUGCCAUCAGCUGCUGAAGAGCUCCUAAUGAUGCCAGCCAUCUACCUCCUGAAUAUCGUCAUAUUCGCUUGGUAGCUGACUCCCAUCAUCGAGAGUUCCACAAAGCACGAAGCAAGCAGCAUUCGAGCAUCGAAGAAUAUAUAUGACUCACUCUGGGUGAUAACUCCGCUUGCUCUGCUCAUCCUCGGAAGUACCACCGAACUCUGCAACUCUUCCCCUCGCGGGCUCUAACUAUUCUUUCUCCAAGUACUACAGUACUCAUCUAGGUAUCUUCCCUAGAUUACUCCACUACUCAAAUCCCCUAAAGGAUUCCAAUCAAAUAUUCUCACUCAUCACAUACUCAAAAGCACAACGCAUAUCACAGCAAUUCCUAGGCUAAGGCAUCACAAAUCAGGCCACUCUACUCCUAAUAUAUGGAAUACCUAGCCUGUCUCUAGCAUGCAAUAAUAUCUCAUAAAGUGCAUCAUAAAUAUCUCAUAACACAAAAGUAAGGGUAUUUUGGGAAAUCACCGUUCGGGCUCUGGCUGAUUGUACACACUGCUCUUUCUCGUUUUCUCUUUGAACUCUUAUUCGCUUUAGAAAAUUAUUUCUUUGAAAACUUUUCUUACUUCCUCAGUUUGAGUCCAGAAUUACCCGAAGGCGCAUCCGAAUCCCUCAAACCAAGGCUCUGAUACCAACUUGUAACACCGUAAAUUUCAAGACAAAAUUUUCAUUUUAAAUAAUCAUUUUAUUCUUAGAACACUUGUUAAAAAUCUCAUUCAUAAUCAAAUUACAAAACAUAGCUCCAUUUUCACUUGCAUAGAAAACCAGGAUCCUCCAAAAUAUGACUCUUGCUCUGGUGUGUACAAUCAAGCCGGUGCCGUACCGUGAUACUGAAAGAAACCUGAAAACAACAUAACACAAAACACUGUAAGCACGAAGCUUAGUGAGUUCCCCAAAAUACCACACACAUAACACAUAUAAGCCACUCGAGGCUAUAACUCUAUGGGUCCGUGCACCCAAACUCUGUGAACCCUCAGGUUCUAACUCUGUGAACCUUCCGGUUCUAACUCUAGGAACCCUUCGGUUCCAACUCUGCAAACAUGCACAGCAUAAAUCACAUAGAAAUAAUGCAGUACAACACAUAACAUACAUAGCAUACAAAUACUCUGUCACAUAACUCUGGUUACCUACUCAAGGUAAAGUAUAGUGAGAAGACUCACCUGGCAAGCAAAAAGCAGAUAUCUCCAUACUCGGAUCUCGAACUCGCCACCGCCUAACACGUAAGGCAAAACUCUCAUGACUAUAACUCUCGAGACUAGAAUCAAUCCUCUCAAUGCACCCUCUUAAGGGUAAAAGACUAUUUUACCCCUCUCUUGGCCCAAAGGCCACAUCGCUGACCAAACCCUAAAAGUCAACGGUCAACCCUUGGUCAAAAUCAAAGUCCUCAGUCAAAGUCAACCCCUGACUGACCCUACUCGCCGAGUCAACUCUAUGACUCGCCGAGUUUCUAUAAUCAGAACUUCACUCAAUCCGCGACCUAACUCGCCGAGUCACUCCGAGACUCGCCGAGUCCAACAACUCUGAGUCCACUCGCACACAACUCACCGAGUCAUCCCUUGACUCACCGAUUCUCGACUCAACCAGGGAAUAUCGGGACUCUUCGACAAGACUCGCCGAGUCCAAGAACAGACUCGCCGAGUCCAAGACUAUCAUCAACCUACUCGCCGAGUUGUUCAUACAACUCGCCGAGUUCCAGGCCAUCUUCAUCCAACUCGUCGAGUACACCCAUGUGACUCGCCGAGUACCACCGGUCUGAAUCCAUUCAGAAGCAUUCCAGGCCAUGCAAUUGCUCCAAAACAUAGAUCUAGCCUCCUACCACUCAUCCAUCACGUAAAGUGGCAAACUUUACGUGAAUCCAAAGAGAUCUAGGCCAUUUGCACAUUGGGCUAGGGUUUGGGACAUGAAAGCUUCACUAAACACUCCAACACAGGGACUUUCAUGCUCUCUGAUUCUUCUCCCUUCUAGAUCUGAGGUAGCAACCUCAGAUCUAACCUCUAGACUUCCCAUUACAUCCAUAGACAAGUUCCCACAAACCCCAAAAUGAAGAAACACAUAAUAACAGCCCAAGAACGAGAUAUUACCUCCAAGAGAUGCCCCAACUGCAAUGUAAUUCGAAUCCAAGCAAAGCCCCUUGCUCCAAGCCUUCAAUCUCCCAAAAUUCCUUCAACAAUUACUUCUCCAAGCCCCAAUCCACUCAACAAUGGUGCUUCUCCGCGAUUUAGGGUUUCCUGGGGCUCAAGGGGUGAUAAGGAGGCUGGGAGGAAAACAUAAUGUUCUUUAUAUAGGGCUCAACCUCGAGAAUUAGGGUUUUCUCCAAUCAGCGCCUACUCGUCGAGUCCUCCUCACUAACUCGCCGAGUCGGCUACUUAGCACGCGACCCAGUCGCGACUCUACUCGCCGAGUCCAUCCAUGGACUCGCCGAGUCACUCUUUCACAACUUACUCUUUUAGCCCUUCAACUCUACUCUUGAUAUUUCGGGAUGUUACAUAUCUGAUGAAGACGAACUCUCCCCCUAAACAUGAGAAUUAUCUUUUGGAGGUUCGCUAGUCACUGGCAUUUCAGAUGCUUUCGGUUGUUCUUCUACCAUCUUCUUUGCAGCGUCGUCAAUGAUUUGCUUCAGAUUGUCAACCUGGUUAUCUUUAGCCUUGGAUUCAGAAUUAAUAGCUCUCUCUGGUUCAUCGAAAAGCAGCAUGUAUUGCUCUAAAACAUUCGAAAUCGGCACCGUUACUUGACCGGAUUGUGGAAAGAUUUCUUACAUAGCACCUUCAGUUGCCUUCAACUUCUUGACAUAGUUAUCGUCGAAAGUUACAUAGUAGUUUUCUUCAGUUUUCUUUGAACGUUUAUUCAGAACCCUAUAUGCCUUUGAGUUCAAGGAGUAGCCCAAAAAGAUCCCUUCAUCGCCCUUUGCAUCAAACUUGUUUCGGUUCUCCUUUAAGUUGAAGAUAAAGCAUCUUGAACCGAACACAUGAAAGAACUUCACAUUUGGCUUUCGGUUGUUCAAGAUCUCAUAAGGAGUGAUUGAUAAGCGCUUGUUUAGAUACGAUCUAUUCUGCGUGUAACAAGUAGCAGCAAUAGCAUCAGCCCAAAAAUACAUUGGUAAGAAAGCGAAGUUCAGCAUGGUUCGGGCUGCUUCACACAAAUAACAAUUUUGCCUUUCAACGAUUCCAUUUUGUUGUGGAGUAUAUGGAGAAGAAAAGCUGUGAGUCGCUCCCUUCUCUUCUAGAAAGUCUACAAAAUCCUUGUUCUUGAAUUCCAAGCCAUUGUCUCUUCUCACGUUACAAACCACUUUUCGUAGUUGAACCUCUACUUGUUUUAUGACGAGUUUGAGCUUGGGAGUUGCCUCUGAUUUUUGCUUCAAGAAAAAUACACAUCUGAAGCGAGAGAAAUCGUCAAAAACAAAAAGUAUAUACUUGUUUCCACCAAUUCUUUCGAUUAAAGAAGCACCACACAAAUCGAUGUGUGGUAGCUCUAGUGGUUCUAUCACUUUUGUGUUGAAUAUAGAAGAAUGUCUUUGUCGACUUUGCUUUCCCAUUUCACAAGCUGCACACAAAUGUUCUUUGUCAAAUUUUAGAAAAGGAAGACCUCGAACGUGAUCUCCAAGCACCAGCUUGUUGAUGUCUUUGAAAUUCAGAUGUGAGAGCCUUCGACGCCAUAACCAGCUUUCAUCUGAGUGUGCCUUCGUUAGCAGGCAAACAGCUAGUUUCCCUCGAAUUGGAUUGAGAUUUAGAGGGUAUAUCUCUCCGUUUCGCUUCAAUUUCAGUAGAAUAUUAUUGGACUUCUUUUCAACAAUUUCUGAGCCUUCGUCAUCAAAGGAAACCUUUAAACCGAUACUAACCACCAAUUGUGAGACACUGAUGAGGUUGUUCUGCAAUCCUUCCACAUAUGCUACCUUUCUUAUCGAGAAGUCACCAUUUGUAAUCAUACCAUUCCACCAUAUUUGAGGGACCGAAACUCCCUCGGUUCUUCCCUUCUUCCUAUCACGUGAUGCGAGUAGCCACUGUCAAUGUACCAUUCUUCGUCGAACUACUUGUCACAAAUAACCUGCAAAAUAUCAAGCAGAUUUAGGAACCCAAAGCUUAUUGGGUUCUUGUGAGCUUUUUACAGAAUAUGGAGAUGUAAGAGAAACAUCAAUCAGAUAAGUUCUUUUUUAUUAAUGUAUUUUGAUCUUUUCUCUUGACAGUAAAAACUUUGAUUUUAUUCGAUUUGGACUCAUUUGAUUUAGACGUAUAAUACCUUCUUUCUACUUCUUUCUCAAAGUAAAGCAAGCAACCUUUCGCCUUUAUUUUUUUGAGGAGAUAUAAAAAGAAGCAACCUUACUAAGCAAACGUAGGCUUGGGCUCAAAAGCAAGAAGCAGUCAAUCUUGCUUUCGAUUCAACAAUACGAACCUUGAAUUCCCACCUUUCUAAUGCAAUAGAAUUGAGAACACAAAGUACAUUCCCUACUCCUAUAAAGGUCGGCAGAAGGAAAGCUCGUUACCGCAACGCUCGUUCACCCCUUUGGCUUCUUCCAUAGAUCGUUCCGGCCAGUGAUCAUUUGGAAGAUCACUGUCCUCCACAGAAAUAGAAAGGGAGCUUUCCUCUUUUCUGAUGCUCAUGGGCAGCUUAUCUCUAAUUGGAUUUCCUUUUCCAACUGGAUUUUAUUCCAAAGAUGCGCUUUUUCCUUUCAAAAAUUGAAAUAAAGAAAAAGCGCAAAGCCAAUCCCAGGGAACAGUGAAGCUUCAUAGGGUCUUUCUGUCCAAGUGAGAUCCGGAAGUCACCUUUUCCUUUCCUUGGGCGAUGUUCUCACCAGGACCCCGUAUAAAAAAGUAAUAGAAUUUAGAACAUAUUAUAAAGGUAUGUAUGGGCACUUAAUCAUAUUUGUUAGCUUAAAUCCAGUUCGCGACAAGUACUCAUACUAACGAGAUUCCCAGUUUAGCUUACGGGGUCAAAGUCUUCUUUGGACUUUUCCAAUUCUAUUUCUUUUUCAUCAAUCGGGGCAAAGCUUUUUCUCUUCUUUUAUUAACUGAUUUAUGUAUCGGAUUUCAUUCGCCCCAUGGUUGGGAACUAGGGAAUUUGUUCGGUGUCUCGGAGUUGUAAUCUUCCUAUUAAAGAUUGUGACAGCUUUUAUAGGAUACGUAAUUGCUAGUGAAAGUGUUCUUUUUUUAGUCACCUGUACUCGAACUGGCAAGAACUCAAAUCAUUAGCUUCGGUGCAGUCAACCAUCGCACUGUAAAAAUUGGAUAGGUUCGAAAUUCCCUCUCACUUCUAUGUUGAUCCUCAUAUUGCUUCAUUCUAACUUGUGCCCCUGGAUGGCUUGUUGAUUCCGGGUGCUCUGUUCUCUCUGUGCAUUUAGUUGUGCUUGAACCGCGUACUUGGAGCUGAGGAACUAUUUAGCGGUCCGGUUGUCUCGCACUCCUAGAGGAUGGUCGCAGUGGACGAAGACUUGUUUUGACGCCUGCAUGCUUUCGGGUCUCUUUCGGGCGUCUUUCGUCUUCUGGAAAGAGCUUUCCUUUCCCUUUUGAAUAUUUUGUUGAGUGACAACGAGAAUAAGAAAAAGGAGAUUUAGAAGCAAAGUUACACCUUUCGUUAUUGCUCUUCCUUGGUUGAGAACGGAAACUACUUUCCCUUCAGUUUUUCCCACAAGUGGACUUGGGACCAAACCCAUCCAUUUGGUUGCUUACAUGUUGAGGACCGAAAGCUUCCUUUCGGUUGUCAUUUCCCUGGGGACCGAAAUUACCCUUUCGGUUUGUUUUACUUUGGGGAGUGAAAGUACCCUUUCGGUUGUUUAUCACCUAAUGCCCGAAAAUUUCCUUUCGGUUGUUGUGACUUUGUGAAAUCAACCGAUGCCUUUAGUUGUUUUCAUUGUAGUAACCGAAAUCCUUGUUUCGGUUGUUCUCGCCAUGUGAGGGAGACCGAUUUCAUGAAGUGGAAUUGGUUCUUGUCUCUCUUUGCGAUUUGUUUGUCUUUUCAUACCUGAUGUAAUGAGGAUUUUGGGAUGGCCAAAAUUGUUUCCUGUCUGUGAUAUUUUUCUUAUCUCUCAAGUUACGUUUGUGAUUUCUUUCCGAAACCUGUUUCGGGGUCUUAUGGAUGUUAGCUUUCUGCUUCAGUCUUUGAGCAUGUGUUUCGCUCUUUAGAGAUGAGGUUUCCCUUGCUACAUUGACUGGUUCGACUCGAACCUAUUUUGUACCACUAGUGCUUGGUACAUCAAAUUUUUUUGGCUUGUUGAGUGGUUUUGCCACAUACCUCCCCUUCACUUUCCAGGAUGUUUUCUCCGAUAGGCCAACAGUUUCAUUAGUGUUCUCAAUUGGAGCCGACCAGAAGAAUUCAUCACAACCAUCAGCAUUAUCUUCGUUUACUAACACUGUGAGUUCGGUUGUUUGAUGUUUAGUUACUCCAGUAACCUUAUAGACCUGAUAAUGAGUAGUUUGGACUUUUUGGUAUACAACUGCUUUUCCUUUUAGUACUUUGUUCUUAUUUUUGGACAUACGAGCAAACUCAACUGAAUUUUCAGAGAUGAUAUUUUUAUGGUUUUCGGGUUCGCUCUUGACAAAUUAGGAGCAGUCAACCUCAUUAAGUUCAGAUGCAUUUUCAACAUCCAUUUUAUUUUCUAAACUCAACUUGGCUUUCAACGAGUCAAAUUUCUGUAUAGUCUCGACUCUCAGUUUUAUUUUGUCUUAUUCAUCCAACAUAUUUUUGAGCAUGUCCUUAUGGUCUUUUGACUUAAUGUAGGACUCUAUUUUUUCAAGACCAAUUUUGUAGGUGGGAGAUAUUUUAUCAGAAGAUACAACAUUUUCACAGUUGUAAGCUUCGGCAUCGACUUCAUCCUCCUUUAGCUCAAGGAAGGGUAAAAUCAUGUUAUGUAUCUUUUUUCCUAUUUCACAAUCAAGAUGUAACUGAGUAAUAUUAAAAUAUAGUCUUUUAGCAAUCAAACAAAAAACAUUUCAUUGUUUUAAAAGCAUAAGACUGUCUCGUUGCAAAUAGAUUGAUUCAUCCCUAGACCUAAUUAAUUCCUUCUCCUUUUGCUCAAUCCAGAUUCGCCUCUCCUCACUCUUCGAUGAUACCCUGCUAAUAUGAUCAGUCAUGUUAGAGUUUGUAAAACGAGUUUGGGUGAGGCUACCACUUAAACUAGAAUAUUUAGAUUAUAAUCCAUUUAGUUCCUUUUCAUAGUUUGUGAUGGGUAUUUUCCAAGAAAUAAGAAUAGUUUGUACCUUCUUGAUCAACUCAUCACAUUCGUUGAUCUGCGCACUAACAGGUUUCGCAGCAAAACAUCUGGCUUCUCGCUCCUUCUCGUCAUCCAGUCCAACAUCGGUUGUGUAUCAUCGCAUCUGUGACACACCAGCCGUCACCAUCAAAAAUCUUCCCUCAACCUUUUCUUCUUUCACCAGCAGAGCCUUGCCAUGAGUGGGCUUUCUUACUUCUUCGUCCUCUGAAUCUAUGGACCACACCUGAACUCCACCAAACUCAUCAUCAUCACCAAUACCCUGCAUAAUUAAAGCAUUCAUGGUAUUAUUGUUAGUUGCAUAUUUUUUUUUAUCUCCUCCAAUCGUUUUAGGAGGUUCGCUUCUUCAUCGUCUUCGUCAACCCUUUCGGAUGUCUUCCUCAGCAUGCAAUCUUUAGCAAAAUGAUUCUUGCCUCCACAAUAAUGACAUUCAAAACCUGAGUCACCUCUAACUUUGUUUCCUUCUUCGAUUCUUCAGUCUUAGAAACCAUCUUCGGUUCCUCUUUCACCUUUUCGGAACUGUAACUUCCCUACUAGUUUCGGUUCUUAUUGGCGGGGAACUUUCUUUUGAUAAACUUUCUUGGAUUGGACACCAUCAAAGCGUAUUCUUCACCAGUUAGAUCAUAGUCAGCAAGAUCUAACUCUUCUUCUUCUUCAACUGCACUUUUUCCCUUGGAGAUUAGAGCUAACGAGCCCAAGCUGGAAACCACAUUCGUUUCCUUUGACACAACACUCUCAUGAGACUUCAGAAUUCCCACUAGCUUUGCCAGAGAAUAGGAUUUGAAUUGUUCGUGUGCCUUCACAGUAGACACAACUGCCAUCCAUUCGGGUCUAAGACCAUUCAUGAAGGUAACCUUCUGCUCAAUAACCUUUCUUUCGAUCCCAUGCUUUAUCAUCUUACUAAGAAGAUGAUUAAAUUGAUCAAAAGCCUGAAUAAGUUUUUCUUCGGGCUUAUGUUUGAAGUCACCAAAUUCAGAAAGUAAUAGAGUUUGAAUCAAAUGCUCCAGACCUUCAUCAGUAGAAUAUAUUUCCUUCAGCAUAUCCCAUAUCUUGUCCGCUGUACUGCAAGAGCUUACUAACCGAAGGGUAUCCGAUUGCAAAUCGAACCUAAUCAUCCUUAAUGCUUUGAUGUUGCAUUGAAAUUUGUCUUUUUCUUCUUGAGCAACUUCCUUCACAUCGGCGGGUAGUUCGUUAUACUCCUGUUGCGUUUUGAUUAUUUUUGAAGUGCUUGAGUGAGAAAACGGACCAACUGUGAUUGCUUCCCAAAUCAAAUACCCAUUAUCUUCUGAACCGAUUACAUAAUCUUCGAAGUGGUGCGUCCAUACUUCAUAAUCCUGAGUAUGCAAUAUUGGAAUCCUAGUUUUCGGUCCAAUAUUAUUGGAGAUAUUAAUUGGAUUUGAUUGUGAAUCUUCCAUAGACAUUGUGGUAAUGUUUGAUCGAUAACCUGCUUAAGAUCAAACUUGUAAUUUAUCGUUAGGGCAAGAUCGAUAAUUAAUGAGAUACACUAAUGUGGAAUGACGGCUCAAUUAAUAUCAAUCAAUGCGGAAAACCCUAAUAACUUCUUCAACAGAAGAGAUGUGUAUGAAUUACACAACCUCCUACUCUGAUACCAAUUGAUGUGAUAAAAUCUCUAAGAUCGUUUAGAUCUUUUACAUGUUAAUCAAAGAAGAACAAACAAUUAUAUUAAACGAAACAAUGAACACAAGACUGAAUCAAGAUAAUGCUUAAUGAUUCAAUUGUAGUCAUGCCUCAGUAGAGAUCGAUUAAGAACUUCCACUGUAGAGGCGAGCUAAGGUUUACAAUACAAUAAAGAGAAUUAUUCAAUCGCUACUUACUAUGAUGCACGCAUGCACCUUAAAUACUAAAACCCUAGAAUAAAACAAAGCACGGUUGGACAAGCCCGAACCGGUUACAAAACUAGGCUAAUCAAACCGAGCCGAAGAUGCAAAAUUCAGAAGCCUACAAUUUAUAUGAGAACUAAAGGUCUUUAUUAGUGGGUCAAUAGUUUCUUGGUGGAUACGCUAAGGUUAUAUGUGACUAAGGUGUCAUAGACAUAGAAUCUAUGAUCUUUGCUUUAUUUCCUGUUCCUUGUUUGGUUGUGGAUUUGGAGUUAGGGUCACUUAUUCGAGAGUCUAUCCUAUUUUGAUUACAUAUAACUGAUGGGUUUUGAGAAUUCUAACACUUCCUAAGUGUACAUGCAACCCUAAUAAACCAUGGAUCUAUGUUUGUCUAAGAUACAUGCAAAUAAUUAAUUUUCCAAGGUUCAUAUCCUAACUAGCAUGGCAUGGUGAAUAUGAAUCAAAUAAAGCAAGUAGAAAUACUUACCUUGUAGUAGUAUUUGAUUCCUUGAAGUUUUAGAGCCUAGCACCAAUAGUGUGGAUGCCUCAUAUGGAAAUAACAAAUCACCACAAACUUGGAACAUUGAGAGAAUAGUCACUACUAUCUUGAAAUUGGCCCUCUUGUUUUUCUCACUCAACUAGUGUCCACUUGUCUAUUUCAAGAACCAAAGCCUCUUUUAUAUAGUGUGGUGGAUUAGGGUUACAUCCAUGUAAACCCUAAUACCCAUGUCUCUUCAUUUCCAUGAGAUCCAUGGGUUAAAGCUCCAUGGAGUAUCCAUGGACUUUCCAUGCAAGCCUAGCCCAUUCCAAAUAAGCAUUAGCCCACGCUAUAUAAAUAUAGAAGCUUAUAUUUAAUUAGUAAUAUCUUUGAUCUCUAAAUUAAUGCUAGAUUAAUUAUAGAUCAAUACUAAUUAAAUAAUAUGAUCUUAUAUUAAUAUAUUAGAACUUAUAAUAUAUUAAUAAAUCAUAACUUGUACUAUUCUCAAAAGAUUAUCCAUAAAUUGUUCGGGUGAAGUGCAACCCAAAUGGACCAUGCGGGGUCGGGUCAAGUACAUACCAAAUAUAGUUAUGGACUUAGACACUAUAUCCAACAGUCUCCCACGUGGAUAAGUCUAAUAACUAUGGUUGCAACUAUGACUUCAGGAACUGAUCAACAAUCGUAGCUCUUUAAACUCUAUUGAACUAGAACGCGCCAUUUAAGAUAAGUGAUCAUAUAAUCCUCUGUUCUAGAUAUCAGUCGGACAAAUACAUGGAACAUGGUCUUACUUAUUGUCCAGCAUUUGUUUCCCGAUUUCCGAUUUGUUUGACAUAGAACUUAACUGAACACAUCAAUUUAGUUCUGACCGGGCCCGGUACAUAGGUCAAAACAAAAUCAUCGAGGGGCCCAGAUAUCAGCUUCUAAUCCAAGAAGGAACAGAUAAACUUCGACUCAUAUGUUUGUUCUACCACUCAUUGAAUUACACACAAAAGUACGUUUUAUAACAUCGAGUUACCAAUGCGGUUUCGUACAGUCAAUGCAUAACCAACUUGUAAGUAACAAAUCAUAUCUCUAGGUUUGAAGACUUAUAUGAUAUUACCGUCUCACGAUCACUCGAGAUAGAAUUCCAUGAAGUGAUUCCAGUGAGCGUGGGUUGAGUCCAAUGCUCAGAACUUAUGAGCACUCAUGAUUGUUGUAGCCUUGUCCAACACCUUAGACCUCUACAACCCAUCAUGACAGUCUUGAUUCAUACCUACUUCCGACAUAUGACCGACUGUGGAGGUUUGAAUAAUAUGUUACACCAAACAAAAUUAUUCUGGAAGUCAAAACAUGCAAAAGAAAUAUAGUAAACGAUUGACAAGAGAUAGCAACACUUUACUCAUAAAUAAAACACCUUUUAUUCAUCAUCAAAUGUCAAUUACACUUUACAAAUUUCUGGGUUAUCUAACUACUAAAACUUAUAUCAUCCUUCAGCCCUAUGCUCCGAGCAUGCUGGAGAUGCUUAACCCUACUCAGUCCCUUCGUGAGGGGAUCUGCUGGGUUCUCAUCCGAUGAUACCCUCUUUGCCACGAGGAGUCCUUCUUCGAUCCGAUGUCUAAUGAAAUGGUAUUUUCUGUCGAUGUGUCUGGAUCUCCCAUGAUCCCUUGGUUCCUUGGCUAAGGCAACAGCACUUUCACUAUCACAGAAAAUUUCCAUUGGCUCUUUAAUAGCUGGUACAACUCCAAGGUCUCCAAUGAAGUUCUUCAGCCAUAUCGCCUCCUUUGCUGCUUCGCUAGCUGCAAUAUACUCUGAUUCACAAGUAGAAUCUGCCACUGUCUCUUGCUUGGAACUCUUCCAAGAAAUUGCUCCUCCGUUUAGGGUAAAGACCCAGCCCGACUGAGAGCGGAAAUUAUCCCUAUCAGUCUGGAAGCUAGCAUCACUAUACCCUACAACUCUCAAGUCAUCACUCCCACCGAGGGUAAGGACCCAGUCCUUAGUCCUCCGUAGGUACUUGAGGAUAUUCUUUACCGCAGUCCAGUGUGCCUUGCCAGGGUUCGCCUGAUACCUGCUAACCAUGCUCAAGGCAAAAGCUACAUCGGGUCGAGUACACGUCAUAGCAUACAUGAUCGAUCCUACAGCCGAAGCGUAAGGUGUUCGACUCAUUUCUGCUAUCUCAGCCUCAGUGCUAGGGCUUUGUGUCUUACUCAAUCUGGUGUUACUCUGGAUGGGUAACUCUCCUUUCUUGGAAUCCUGCAUGCUGAAUCUCUUCAGCACCUUAUCCAAGUAGGUACUCUGACUAAGUCCAAUUAGUCUUUUACUCCGAUCUCUCAAGAUUCUUAUCCCUAGAAUAUAGGCAGCUUCACCAAGGUCCUUCAUAGCGAAACACUUCCCAAGCCAGGACUUUACUUCCUGCAGGGUUGGAAUGUCGUUUCCUAUGAGUAGUAUGUCAUCCACAUACAAUACCAAAAAGCUAACUAUACUCCCACUAGCCUUGACAUACACACAAGAUUCAUCUUCACUCCUAGAAAAGCCAAAUUCCUUGACCUUUUCAUCAAAGCAAAGAUUCCAUCUGCGAGGUGCUUGCUUCAAUCCAUAAAUGGAUUUCUCAAGCUUACACACUCUAUUAGGGUACUCGUUGCUGACAAAACCCUCUGGCUGACUCAUGUAAACAUCUUCAGCCAACUUUCCAUUAAGGAAAGCGGUUUUGACAUCCAUCUGCCAUAUUUCAUAGUCAUGAAAUGCAGCUAUGGCUAACAGAACCCGAAUAGACUUAAUCUUGGCUACCGGAGAAAAGGUCUCAUCAUAAUCCACUCCAGGAAUUUGAGAGAAGCCCUUUGCAACCAGUCUAGCCUUAUAAGUGUGUACUUUACCAUCCAUGUCGGUCUUCUUCUUGAAGACCCAUUUGCACCCUACUGUCUUACGACCUGGUACAUUUUCAACCAAGUUCCAAACUUGAUUGUCAUACAUGGAUUGUAUCUCGCUAUCCAUAGCCUCUUUCCAUUUAGCAGACUCGGGGCCUGCCAUGGCUUCCUCGUAGCUGUUAGGGUCAUCUUGACUUACUAGUGUCUCAUCACUAAUAAGUGUCUCACCUUCUGCAGUAAUAUGGAAUCCAUAGUAAUGCUCAGGUGCACUCCUAACUCUCGUGGAACGUCUCAGAGGUACAGAUUUGUCAAUUGGCUCAACAGGAGUUUCCUCCUCAAGUUGAGGGCUAGAGUUUGAAGUUCCUUCACCGCUUGAUUCUUGAAUUUCUUCAAGAUCAAUUUGCCUCCCACUGUCUCCUUGGCUUAUAAACUCUCUUUCUCGAAAGACUCCUCUUCUUGCUACAAAGACCACAUUGUCACUAGGUCUGUAGAAGAGGUAACCAAAGGAUCGCUGUGGGUAACCGAUGAAAAUACACCUCUCGCUUCGAGGUUCGAGCUUAUCAUGAGUCUCGCGUCUCACGAAAGCCUCGCAACCCCAAAUCUUGAUGUGGUCUAGUUUAGGUACUUUACCAGUCCACAUCUCGUGAGGAGUUUUGGCAACUUUCUUUGUAGGGACUAGAUUAAGAAUAUGGGCGGCAGUCUCUAAGGCAUACCCCCAGAAUGAGAUUGGUAGCGUAGCUCGACUCAUCAUGGAACGAACCAUAUCUAACAAGGUUCGAUUACGCCUCUCAGCCACACCAUUCAACUGUGGUGUCCUGGGAGGUGUCAAUUGUGAGACUAUCCCACAUUCCCUUAGAUAGUCGAGGAACUCUGAACUAAGAUACUCACCACCACGAUCGGAUCGAAGCAUCUUAAUGUUCCUGCCCAAUUGAUUCUCGACUUCCUGUUUAAAUUCCUUAAACCUCUCGAAAGUCUCUGACUUAUGCUUGAUCAAGUAGACAUAUCCAUAUCUACUAUAAUCAUCAGUAAAAGUCAAAUAAUAACGAUUAGCAUCCCUUGUGGCAUGUUUGAAUGGUCCACACACAUCCGUGUGUAUAAGGUCCAACAAACCUUCACCCCUCUCACACGAACCUGUGAAGGGUGACUUUGUCAUUUUUCCAAGUAAGCAUGAUUCGCAACUAUCAUCUGACUUUAGGUCAAACGACUCCAAGACUCCAUCCUUUUGGAGUUGGCCUAUGCGUUUCUUGCUUAUAUGUCCAAGACGACAAUGCCAUAAAGAUGCUUUAUCCAAGUUAUUAUUAGUAGAAUCAAUACACAAAACAUUAUUUCCCAAGUUAUCUACAACAGAUACAGCUUCAUACACACCAUCACAAGGUAAUGCUUUAAAAUAAAAGACAUUAUUAUAGAAAACAUCUAUAGAACCAACUUCAUUAUUAAAUGAAAAGGUAAACCCUUGUUUGUACAAAGCAUGAAAGGAAAUAAUAUUUCUUGCCAUUCCUGGCGAAUAACAACACUUAUUCAAAUCUAAACUAAACCCACUACUUAGCGAUAAAGUAUAAACUCCAAUCUUGGUAACAGGUAUAGCUUUCCUAUUCCCCAUGAUCAAGUUUAUCCUUCCUUGCUCCACAUCCUCACUUCUUCUUAGUCCCUGCAAGUCACAACAAAUGUGAAUACCACACCCGGUAUCAAGGACCCAAGAAUUAGAAUGGGGUGAGUUAUUAGAAAUGAUAGUGUAAAUACCUGCAUGGUUGGGUUUAACUUUCCCAUCCUUCACAUCUUGCUGGUAUUUUGGGCAGUUCCGCUUCCAAUGAGCUUUUUCAUGGCAAUAGAAGCAUUCAGCCUCUUUUGGGUCAGAAGAAGGAGUAAUGAAACCUUUCUUGGUUCCACUUGAAGAAGAGCCAUCAAGGGUCCGAACCUUGGUACCCUUAGAAGAGCUCUUUCUCUUCCUCCCUCGACUUUUCCCGAUUGCCAAAACCGGAGUAGAGUUUUGAGUAGGAGUGAUAGCAACCGACUUCCCCUUAAGACCUGAUUCUGCGGUCUUGAGAAGUCCCUGAAGUUUGCUGAGGGUGACUUCUUCCUUGUUCAUGUGAUAUGUCAUGCGGAAUUGAUCAUAGCACGAUGGUAAGGAAUGCAAAAUAAUAUCUAUUGCAAGAUCCUCCGGGAAGUUCACAUUAAGCUUCAGCAAACGAUCCACAUACCUUUGCAUUUUCUGCAUGUGGCUCGUGACGGAUUCCCCGUCCUUCAUCAUGGUUGUUAUCAUGGAGCAGAUGAUUUCAUACCUCUCUUGUCUUGCACUUUGAUGGUAUCUUUCCAUCAAAUCUUGGUGCAUUUCAUAAGGGUAGAAAUCCUCAUAAGACUUUUGGAGUUCCGCUGUCAUCGUGGCCAUCAUGAUGCAAGCCACUUUCGUAGCAUCCCUUUCAUGUGCCCGAAAUUCAGCGAUCUCCUGAGGAGUUGCAGUGGACUCAUCAAUCUCCUUAAGCUCCUUGUCAAGGACAUAUUCUUUGUCCUCGUAGCGGGUAAUCAUCCUGAUGUUUCUGAUCCACUCAUUGAAGUUGGAUCCAUCAAAGGUGACUUUCCCACACAAGUUCAUAAGGGUAAAGGAGCCAUUAGGAUUAGAGCCAGAAGCAUUGUUGAAAGACAUCUGAAGGAAAGAGGACAAGAUUAGUUUAGAUAUAAGAGAGUCCUUAAUAAAACACCCAAAUGUAAUAUUAAGGCUAGGAUCCAAUCACAAUAUAAUAUAACUUAGAAGAGGUAUGCCGUAAUCUAAGCUAUAUCAUAUUUGAAAGGUAGGUGAAUGACGAUUCACCAAUUUCCACCACGAAAACCGCAAUAUUUUAGUAUUAGGUUUUUGAAUGGUUCUUAGAAAUUCCUAGAUUCUUUGAGAUUCAAUGAACUUUUCAAAGGCAUGUUUCAAUCUCGAGUGUGCCCUCCAAGUUUUGUGACUGGGAUACCGAGGAUCACAAAACGAGGUGUGAAGUAACCAUGCAAAUCACUUGGUACCCUUAAAGUUUAUCACUCAAUCGAUGUGCCGGUUAACCACACACGCUCCAUCGAUACUAUAAUAAACCCUAAGUCACCCUUUACCUACCUUGUUAAGUCCAAGUUAGUGUGCCGGUUAACCACACACGCUCCACCAACGACUUAAUCAAAGUGUAAAGUGUAAUUUCAUGGAAUAGCACCUUAUUCACAUUUUUCCUAAAGUAACUAAGAUUGGGAAUUUAAUAAAACAUUUAGUUACUUUAUAAUAUUCAUCAUACUUUGAAUGAGAAUUAAUAAGUCCUUGUCUUACCCGUUCGGCUAACGACCCUCCACCGAUCAAGCAAGCGGUGGGUGAGAGUGGACACCCAUUAAGUUACCAUUUUAUAGGCAACAACCUUAUACCCACCUUAUAGACCGGCUUCGUGAAUGAGGCGUACUAGCGGUAAGACGACUUUAAUCUUAUACAUAUAUAUUAUUAACUUAUAAUAUUAUAAGUAUAAGGGUUGAAUUUUAACUUUUAAAAUUCUAAGGGUUGGAACUAAAGUUUUUAAUAUGACUUUACUUGUUCCAAAACUUGAGGGCAAGUUUUGUAAACUUUCAAAACUUUUCAUUUCUUGUAACUUAUGAGUUUAAUAGAGUAAUAAAAAUGAAGACUCUUCAUUUUUCUAACUCUUGUGUUCUUUUAAUGGUUUUAAUUCAAGUGACUUUUGGUUUUCCAUAACUUGAGGACAAGUUAUGGACUCCAUUAAAACACAUAAUGAUCAAGAAUUAAUCUACCACAUAGGUUACAAAUAAUUCCUAUGAUCAUCUAAACAUCAUAAGAUCAAGAACAUGAAUAUGAACACUUUCAUGAAUCAAAAAUUACACAUAAAACUUUGUAAUUUUGAUAACAAGUUGUUGUAAAUGGAUUAGCAAAGACAUUACACCAUCUAAAACAAGUUUUCAAGUACCAAAACAGUUUAGGGUAAUGUUUCUAGUCCAUUUCCAGCAACUAAAGUCAAAAAUCUGCACUCUGUGGCUCCUACUCACCGAGUGCAUGAACCUACUCGGCGAGUAGAUUGAAGAUACACAUGAACUCGGCGAGUCCCUCCAUGGACUCGACGAGUUCAUCAGGCAGACAACAAGUUUUUCGACUUUUUCCAAUAUUUUGCAUAAUGUAUCAAACAAACAAGCCUAGGCUCUGAUACCACUGAUGGGUUUUGAGCAUUCUAACACUUCCUAAGUGUACAUGCAACCCUAAUAAACCUUGGAUCUAUGUUUGUCUAAGAUACAUCCUAAUAAUUAAUUUUCCAAGGUUCAUAUCCUAACUAGCAUGGCAUGGGGAACAUGAAUCAAAUAAAGCUAGUAGAAAUACUUACCUUGUAGUAGUAGUUGAUUCCUUGAAGUUUUAGAGCCUAGCACCAAUAGUGUGGAUUCCUCAAAUGGAAAUCACAAAUCACCACAAACUUGGAACUUUGAGAGAACAGUCACUACUAUCUUGAAAUUGGCCCUCUUGUUUUUCUCACUCAACUAGUGUCCAUUUGUCUAUUUCAAGAACCAAAGCCUCCUUUAUAUAGUGUGGUGGAUUAGGGUUACAUCCAUGUAAACCCUAAUAUCCAUGUCUAUUCAUUUCCAUGAGAUCCAUGGGUUAAAGAUCCAUGGAGUAUCCAUGGACUUUCCAUGCUAGUCUAGCCCAUUCCAAAUAAGCAUUAGCCCACGCUAUAUAAAUAUAGAAGCCCAUAUUUAAUUAGUAAUAUCUUUGAUCUCUAAAUUAAUCCUAGAUUAAUUAUAGAUUAAUACUAACUAAAUAAUAUGAUCUUAUAUUAAUAUAUUAGAACUUAUAAUAUAUUAAUAAAUCAUAACUUGUACUAUUCUCAAAAGAUUAUCCAUAAAUUGUUCGAGUGAAGUGUAACCCAAAUGGACCAUGCGAGGUCGGGUCAAGUACAUACCAAAUAUAGUUAUGGACUUAGACACUAUAUCCAACAAUAACUGGUAUGCACUAUGCAAGUAUUGAGAUAACUGAUAACGAUCAUCUUAUAAUUAUAUUAAUUAGUGCGUCUAUUAACUAUCUCUUUCAUCCCCUUUCUCACGUAGAUUUCAUGGCUAGAUUCAAUCUCCCUGGUGACCCGUACUUCCCUAUCCAAGGCAAUGGGGGAUGGCUUGAUGCAGAGCCAAAAGAGAAUCAUCCAAUCCCUUUGCAUGAUGACUUCGCAGAGAACUUUUUGGAGGAUUCUGACUCUGAACCAGAAGUCAAUAAUGUGCCUCUGGUGGCUCCAAUCCCGAAUCCUAACCUUCGUCCGACUUUUCAAGGGCCGAUGCCUCUGUGGGCGGAAUACUAAGGAGCAUGGAGUCAGGAGCAGGGUCAGCCUAUGCCAUAUAAUAGCAACCAAAUUGUCUACAACCUAAGUGUGGGAGGCGCAGCAAACAAAGUCCUUCCCAUUUUGGUUCGUAGGGUUGCUCGUAAUGAAGACCAGGGUAGGACGGCCAUCCAUCGAACCAUGGAGGUUGACGCAAAUGCGACAGUUAGUACAGUCUACUGUCUUCGUCUAGAAGCUGCUCGUGAGAGAGCUGAGAGAGACAAUGAGGCUCUAGAACAAGAACUAGCUGCAACUCGGGUCGAAGUCAUAGAGCUCCGAGUACGCCAAAGGGUUUAUGAGCGACACCUCCUUCGUAUCUAUCCUCUAUGUAGCACUUUUCCCUAUAAAUAUUCCUAUCCAUCUAGUAGUGUUGCUAGGUCCCUUUGUUGUCAAAAUUUUCUUAUUAUGGUUUGAUGUAAGACCUACUUCUAGGUCAUUUUUCCCGAACUUAUUACAUCAUUAAUGCCAAUGUUAUUGAUAACCAUCAAAUCUUUUGGGAAAUCCACAUUCAAAUACUUUCAAGUUCUAUUGCUAGAUCUCCAUAUCAAUCAUACUCUCAUUUGUUUUGUUGGACUAUGGAGAGUUAGUACAUGGACCAUUCUCAUUAUACUUAUAAUUGAUUCUUACUAUCAUCUUCAUCUUUGUAAACUUUUAGUUGGAUAAUGCCUCCACGGAGAGUGACAAGGCGUAAUCCUCUGAUAACUCCUACGCAACCUCCACCUCCUCCAGAAUACAAUCCAACUGAUAUCCAACCUGCGGUAAAUGCGGUUGUUACGGCAGCCCUAACUUAGUUCAGUGCUAGUGGAACUAGCGGGAUUGGAACGACUGUGCAUUCCACUCAAGGUAAUGGUCCAAUGCGCUCUAGAGAGUGCUCGUAUAAGGACUUCACCAACUACAAACCCAGGUCCUUCAACGGGACUAGUGGAAUCAUUUCCCUCUCGCAAUGGUUCAAAAAGUUGGAAUCGAUCUUCGAGAUCUGUUGCUGUCCGGAAGGAAGCAAAGUUAAAUUUGCUGCAUGCACCUUCGCGGAAAGAGCUCUUGUUGUAUCAGGUGUCUAAGCCUAUAACUAUUAUUGGUAUGUAUUCGACCUGAGAGUAGCAUGGUCCAUUUGGGUUGCAUAUCAUCAAGACAAUUUGUUAGGAUGGACUUUUGAGAGAAGGUUAUUUAUGGUUUAUUAAUAUAUUAAAAGUUAUAAUAUAUUAAUAUGAAAUCGUAUGUUUUAAUUAGUAUUGAUCAAGAAUUAAUUUAGUGGUAAAAAGAGACUAAUUAAAUCUAUGGUGACUAAUGAUGAUAAUUAGUUAUAUUUAUAUGUGUUGGGCUUAUGAUCCAUGUUGGACCAAGUUUAUGUAUGGAUACAUAAAGAUUUAGGCCACAUGAACCAUGGAUCAUAAAAGCCAUAGGUAUGGAUUUGGGUUAUAUCCAUGACCCUAGAAAUCCCACAUAUAAAUGGAUACUUCAUUGCCUAAAAUCGCCACUUGUAUGUUCUUAGAGUUCAUGGUGUCUUUUGUGUGCAUGGAAUUCUCUCUCAAGUUCAUCCUUUGUUCAUGGUGUGUUGUGAUUCCAUUUGAGGCUUCCACACUAUUGGGGAUAAGCUCUUUAAGGCCAAAUACACGAAGACUCCAAGCUCCAUCAAAAGGUAUGUUAUGCUAACUAGUAUAUUAUAUGGUUUAUAUUAAAUGCAUGCUAGUUGUAAGAUUAAUACCAUGGAAACAAUUUGCUUGUAUAAUUAGUGAAAACAUAGAUCCAAGGCAUUUAGGGUUGUAUGUGCACCUUAGGAUGUUGUAGUAUACCAAAACCCAACAGUGGUAUCAGAGCCAUGGGUUUUUUUCAAUUAUACUUGAUGCAAGUUGCUUGAAAAAAACUGAAAAAAAAAAAAUUGAAUUUUUUGUUGUCUGGGCAGCAGACUCGACCAGUCCAAAUAAUGGAUAAUUGUCAAAGUUUCAAGAUUUAUGUUAAUUUAUGUUAUGAUCUAAGUUUUUGAAAAUUGUUGAUAUGAAUUGUUUUUGUUUAUGGGUUAGUUUAGAUUAAUAGAAAAAAUUAUGUGAUAGUUGUUUUCAAUCCAAAUUAAUCUAGAAGUUGUUCAUAAUGUGUGUUUGUAACUUGUCCUCAAGUUACACGAAAAGUCACAUUUAUGAAUUUUAAAACUCAUAAAAUUUUCAUAAGUUAUGAAAAAUGAAGAGUCACAUUUUUAAGUGUUUUUAAAGUCUUCCAUAACUUGUCUACAAGUUAUGGAACUUGAAGAGUUUUUCCAUUAAACUACUUUAAAACUCAUAUGUUAUGGAAACCAUAAGUUUUUGAAUUGUUCAAAACUUGUCAUCAAAUUUUGGAAUUUGUAAAGUUUCCCCCAUGAAUAUUUUAGUUCCAAGUUAGCCCUUAGAGUUUUAAAAGUUAAAAUUCAACCCUUAUACUAUUAUAAUAUUAAUAGUUAAUACUUAUUAAUAUGUAUAAGAACAAAGUCAGUCUUACCGUUAGUAGGCCUCAUUUACAAAGCUGGUCUAUAAGGGGGUAUAAGGUUACUGCCUAUAAAAUGGCAGUUUAAUGGGUGUCCACUCUCACCCACCGCUUCCUUGAUUGGUGGAGGGUCGUAAGCCGAACGGGUUUGACAAGACUAUAAUUCUUCCUUCAUUAAAACUAUAAUAAUAAAUACUAAGUAACUAAACACUUAUCAAAUUCCCAAUCUUAGUUACUUAGCAAAAUGUAAAUUUGGUGCUAACCCAUGAAAUUACACUUUGUACCUUACCAAGUCGUUGGUGGAGCGUGUGUGGGUAAACGACACACUAACAUGGACUAGUAAGAGUGGCAAAGGGUGACUUAAUGUUUAUCAUAGAUCGGUGGAGUGCGUGUGGGUAACCGGCACAUCUAUUACGUGAUAAAUAUUAAGGGUACCAAGCCAAUUUGCAUGGUUAUUCACACUNCAAUUUGUAUGGUUAUUCACACCUUGUUUUGUGAUCCUCGGCAUCCCAGUCACAAAAUUUGAGAGGGCACAAUCGAGAUUGAAACAUGCCAUUGAAAAGUUCAAUGAAUCUCAAAAGAUCUAGGAGUUUCAAAUCUAAUUAAAACCUAAUAAAUUAUUUCGUUUUUUAUGGUGGAAAUUGAUGAAUCGUCAUUCACCUACCUUCAAAUAUCUUAUAGCUUGGAUUACGACAUCUGUCUUCCAAGUUAUAAAAUAUUGUGUUGGGUCCUAGCUUUAAUAUUUCAUAUUGGGUGUUAUAUUAAGGACUUAAAAAUCAACUAACUCGAAUAUCUCCCAUUGUACAUGUCUAGUUUAGACAUCUAUGAUCUUCCCAAAUCUCUUGGAAUUUGACUUCCUCUACCCCCUCCAAUUAUUCUCCUUAACCCACAAGUUCAAGGUCACUCAAGCCCUAUUGGCAAGCAAGAUCUAUGUGUGAUCACAUCUUGGAGAUGAAGUCAUAUAUUGACAAGCCGCGAGAGUUGGGUGUCAAAGUCUUGAGAAAGUUGGAUUUUCAAUCACUUUCUAAGUCACAUAGUGAGUUCUUAUGGGACUAUUAUGUGGCAGACCAUGACUUGACCCUUAAUGAUCUUACCUAUCUGCUUGGUGUUGCUGAAUCAACAAUGAUUUUGAGCACUGGUAAAAGCAAAUUUGAUUAGAAGAUUGACUUCCCAAACUCUCAUGGACAUUGACAAUGGUAACGUUGGAAAUCCAUAAAAGCUUUCUGUUCCCAAUGGAAAGAGAUCAACCAUAGUCAACUCGGCUGACCAAAUGGUAAAGAGAAAGGCUAAAUAUGAGAUAGACUCGUGUACCAUUCCCAAAGAGUCCAUACGUUUCUGUUUCCAAAGGAAGGGGCAUUGGUUGCAAAGCUGCCUAUUUCCUUGAAAGAUCAUAAGGAUGGUAAAGUCAAAAAUGUUUGACUCUACUUCGGGUAAAAUCCACUAUCUAAUUCUAUUAAGUUCUUAUUUCGAGAUUCUUAUUACAUCAUGUGACUAAAUUACAUGUUGAUGUUUUAAGAAUCAAAGAAAGAGAGGAAGCUUAAAGGAAGGAUAUGUUGAUUCUGAUCGCGAAGAUGGAUUUCGAUCGCAUGGCUCGAUGAUCAGAAUGUUAAGUUGUUGCUUAAGAGUUAUGACAUAUUGCUUAGGAAUGCAUAAUAACAUAAUUUUUCAUAUGUAUUUGCAUUGUAAGGAUACAUUUUUCCGUAAUUUUAAAAUAAAAUAAAUUUUUAAUUUUAUUUAUUUUAAAUAUCCUUACAAUGGCAUUUGUGAAAAAAUUAUUGUUUAUAUGGUUCCAUUGAUAGCAAUAUUGGAAAAAUGGAUUUGAUUCUUUCGUUUGUGGAAGUGUCAUAAUUUACCAAAUAAGGGAAGAUUCUCAUCACCCAAGUUUCACUUGGGUAGAAACUUGGAAUCAUGUGACUUGUAUUAUAUAAUGAAUGAGAAUUUUCAUCUUUUGGAAAUUAAGACUAAUUCAUUGUUCACAUGUAUAUGUGAGUUAUGUGAAGGAUUAGGGGAUCGGGUACACUUGAGUGUACACUGGUCAGGUCCACCACAAAGAAGGAUGAGACUAUUUGUCAUGAUUUACUAAAGCUUAGUAAAUUUGAUUAUGCUUACUAGUUUAAGUAUAAUUCUGAAACAUUGGAAAAGUAUCAAUGUUGGGCAGAACGAAUAAGAAGAAUCAAAUAAGGUAGAAAGAUAAGAAUCUUCUCCAAUCUGAAAAGAUGGGAGAGUACUUGAUUAUCUUGUUUUAUGAUUAUCUUAGUGAUUAUGAAACCAUAUCACAAUUGAUUCUCUAAAGGACAUCUUAGAGCAUUUGUUUGGCUAAGAGGAGAAAUCAUGGAUUGUUGAAAUGGUUAAAAUCAAAAAGAUGAAUCAUACUUCAUUCCAUAACAAGUAUUAGAGUCAUACUCCAAUAUUGUAAUUUGAGUGAAAGAAUCUUAAGAAGGUUUAAAACACUUUUCAAAUGUCGAAUGAGAUGUUUCUUGUUAAUGUACAUUUGAAAUUGGCAAGUUGUGAUAUCUUGGAUAAGACAAAGACCAACUAAGACCAAUUGUGUGAAGUGUUUUUCUUGAUAAGAAUCCACACUAAUUCUUGAAUAUUUGUUUGUCAAGGAAUGGUUUUUGAUAAGAGAAUAUUAUAUGUCAAGAGGAAAGUGGGAGUCUUAAUGGUCUUAAAAGUUUCAAAAUCUAAUCAAGGGUGAAACCUAUUGUUUAUCACUAGCACACGACUUGAGGUUUGUAACCCAUCGUGUUGACAUAUUCUUAUUUCUGUGCUCAUUCCAAUUAAAUUUGACUAUGCAUGUGAGUUCUAUGUGUUCUCAAUUGUUUGGAUAACAACCUGGAAGCAAUGGUAGGCCUUUGUGCUGCCAAGUGGCAAGAAAUUAAGGUUGCACAAGUUUAGACCACAUGAGUUUGGAUUUGUCACUAACCUUGUCCUGUGCUUAUGGUGUUGACAAAUUCAUAUCGAUAGGAACUCAUACACCAUAAAAUCUAAGUGUCAUAAGGUUUCCCUACGAUUCAUGAAAAUGAUGGUGGGGAAACGCUUUCACUAAGUAGAUUUUAGUAGAUAACAAUUUGUGACAUUUGCAUUCUCAAAGUCAUUAGUGGAGCCUGUGUGGUUAAUCAGCAUGCUAACAUAGACUUGUGAGAAAUGGCAAAAGGUCUAAACAAUUGAGACUAUUAUUACGACAUCCCUUUUCAUAGUUCUAUAAAAUUGUUUAGAAACACAUGUGAGUUAUCUAAGGAAAGGUGUACGAUUUUGAUAAAGUUUUAUCAAAGCAUCUAGUAUCAGAAAUCUGAACUUUGGUAAGAGAGUCAAUAAAGUAUUGAUUUCUAGAAGGCCGACUAAUUUCUGGAUACAUGUUAAAGCUAGUAGGAGCAUAAGUGUUAUGCUAAUAAUUAUCAUGUUAGUGGGAGCAUGAUUAUUAUUUGACGUGUUAAUUAUAGAAAACAAUAGGGUUUCAAUUGGGAAAAUUUGUUUUGCUAUAAUUAAGGGAGAGGAAAUUAUACUUCAUUUCAAUUAUAAAAGCUUAGAUUGAGAUUUUUUCUCAUCUUUAGUNAUAUAUAUAUAUAUAUAUAUAUAUAUAUAUAUAUAUGAAUUUUGUGUUGGAAUGGUUCAACAUAAGGAAAUUUUAUAUAUAUUGCGUUCUCAAAAUUCGAUUAUGAUUACGACAUCCCUUUUCAUAGUAAAAUUUUGAAAACAUGGCAAAUAAAAAAUAUUUUAGAAAAUAAUUGGUCUAUGAUCACGUCUUUAUGUGAGACAUCAUGAAUCGUGUCUCAUAUGCUUCGGAUAUAGGAUCGAUUGUAUGUGCUGUAAUAUUUAUCCUUUCUAAAUUUUCCGAAUGCCUAAGGCAUUAAGAGGAGAAAAGAACUAGAAUUGGUUAUGACUAAAAUGAUUACGCAAUUGCCGAGGACAAUCUGAGGUUUACCAAAGAUUGGUUGCUCAUGGAUAGUUGGAAGUAUAAGUGUUAAUUUUGGAAGGACCAUAUUGAUAUAUUCUAAAAAGAGGUAACUCUUGUUCAGAAGCGAUAGUCAAAAUGGGAAUCUGGAAAGGUUUCCAUAGGUGGAAGUUGUUCUUUCAAAUCUAUGUUAGAUUAGAAAACUUAAUGCAACAAGGAUCUUCAAAGGAUUGUACUUUGAAUUUGAAACUUCGUUUCCAUGGAAUUGAUCUCCAUUGGAAUGCUCUAUAAUGUCUGUUUACAACUCUUUGUGAUUUUUGUACAUAGUCAUUACGAGAGGAUCAAUGCAUAUAAGUUUAGAAUAUAACAGAUUUUGUUAAAUGGUAGGAAUUUGGAAUUCUUAUAUUUACGAUAAAUAUUUGGGAUUAUGAAAUGAGCAUCAUUGGAAUCAUGUUCAAUUGAUCUAUUUCACAAAGUAAAGAUCAGAGAUAAAUAUAGUGUGCAUACUUGGUGUAUGGCAUGACUAGUGUUUAGAAAACAUUGUUUACAUGCUUGGAGCAUGGGACAACUAUUGUUUUAAUUCAAGUAUAAAAGUUGAUUAUUUGAAACAUUAUACAAUGAAUAAUGAGUAAUCAAUAUGGUGUUUAAAUAAAAGGUGUUCUAUUUACUCUCAAAGGUGUUUGGGACCAUAGAGGAUUCGUAUUAUUCUUGUGUUUCACUUUGCAUGUUUUGACUUCUAGAAUAACUAGGUUAUUCUUUCUGAAUGACUAACUUAUUCAAACCAUCCACAGUCGAUAAUACGUUGGAAGUAGGUAUUAAGUCAAGACUGUCAUGAAUUGGGUUUGUAGAUGUCCAAGGUGUGUUCAUUGCCAAAAAUCGCCACUUGUAUCUUCUUGGAGUUCAUGGUGUCUUUUGUGUGCAUGGAAUUCUCUCUCAAGUUCAUCCUUUGUCCAUGGUAUGUUGUGAUUCCAGUUGAGGCUUCCACACUAUUGGGGCUAAGCUCUUUAAGGCCAAAUACACCAAGACUUCAAGCUCUAUCAAAAGGUAUGUUAUGUCAACUAGUAUAUUAUAUGGUUUAUGUUAAAUGCAUGCUAGUUGUAAGAUUAAUACCUUCGAAACCAUUUUCAUGUAUAAUUACUAAAAACAUAGAUCCAAGGUAUUUAGGGUUGUAUGUGCACCAUAGGAUGUUGUAGCAUACCAAAACCUAACAGCCCUGAUGUGGCGGAAUAGCCAUGUUAUGUCACUAACUCUAAUAGUGGCUAAUACUAUGGUCUGGGAGGCUCUUAAGGAGCUCAUGAUCGAAGAAUACUUCCCGAGGGGCGAAGUUCAGAAACUUUAACAAGAACUCUGGAGCCUGACCAUGAAGGGCACUGACAUACUGGCCUAUGCAGCCAGAUUCAGCGAUCUGGUGGCACUAUGUCCGGAAAUGGUCCUUACUGAGGGAGAGAAGAUAGAGAGGUAUAUAUGCGGCUAGUGCCUCCAUUUCAGGGGAAUGUAUUAGCUUCAAACCCCACUACCUUCGAUAGUGCUAAGCAAUUGGCACAACGGCUCAUUGAUUAUGGAGUCCGCACCCCAACUACAACAACAACCAUGGCCAUCCCAGAACCCUCCAAAGCCGCUGACAGCAAGCAGAAGUUCUAGGAUAACAAGUAAAAGAGCGCGACACAGAACUCUACCAAAAAGCAACAGAUCGUAGUUGUUCAUGUUGCGAUAACCCCUACUGCUACUGAGCCGAUGAAGCAGUAUGUUGGGAGCUUGAGAAAGUGCAACAAGUGUAGCUUUCACCACAAUGGACCCUGCCGGGAAAUGCAGUGCGCUAAAUGCAACAGGAAAGGGCACACUGCCCAUUUCUGCAAAGCUCCGGCAUGGCCGAUCAACCAUGUCCCCGGCGUUGGUGUGGGCCAGGCUUGCUACGGAUGUGGUGAGGUGGGUCACUACAAAAGGAACUACCCGAAUGUAGAGAACGCUAGUAGUGUGGGAAGAGUUUUGGCUACAGGCCACGAGGUAGUGGUUGUCGACCCCACAUUGGUCACUGGUACGUUUCUCCUCGAUAACUUAUAUGCAUACAUAUUGUUUGAUAGUGGAGCGGAAAGGAGUUUUGUGAACCAAAAAUUUGCUCACUUACUUAAGAAAAAAACACGUGCACUUAAAGAGCCGUUCACUGUAGAAAUGGUAAAUGGAAAGAUUGAGAGCACUAGCAGUAUAUAAAUACGAUGUACUCUAACUAUAGAUAGCCACUCAUUUUCAAUCGGCCUCAUGCUUGUCUCAAUUAAAAGUUUCGACGUCAUUGUCGGCAUGCAUUGGUUGAGUCUUCAUCAUGCCGACAUCAUGUGUUAUGAAAAGGCAGUUCGCCUUAAUCUGCCGUCUAGCAAAACUCUAGUUGUCUAUGGUGACAAACCUGACACGAACCUUCAUAUCAUCUCGAGUAUUUAAGCCCAUAAGUACUUGCGAAAGGGAUGUCGCGCAUUCCUUUCACAUGUUGUCGAUGUGAACCAAGAGAUGAAGGGCAUAAAGAACAUACAUGUGGUAAGCGAUUUUCCUGACAUCUUUCCAAAAGAACUACCAGGAUUACCUCCACAUCGUCAAGUCAAGUUCUGAAUCGACUUAGUUCCAUGGACUACCCCCAUUGCCAAAUCUCCCUAUCAUCUAGCACCAUCUGAGAUGCAUGAGCUAUCCGGUCAACUUAACAAGCUGCUCAUCAAGGACUUUAUUAGACCAAGCUUCUCACCCUGGGGAGCACCGGUCUUGUUCGUGAAGAAGAAAGACAGAUCGUUUAGUAUGUACAUCGACUACAGAGAACUAAACAUGCUUACCGUUAAGAAUUGUUACCCUAUGCCUUGCAUAGACGAUUUGUUUUACCAACAACAAGGGGCGAAUUACUUUUCAAAGAAAGAUCUGAGAUCUGGGUAUCACCAGUUACGAGUGCUUGAGGAGGAUGUUCCGAAGACAGCCUUCCAAACUCGAUAUGGAUACUAUGAGUUUGUAGUGAUGCCAUUCGGAUUGACUAAUGCGCCUGCAGUAUUCAUGGACUUAAUGAAUAGGGUAUGUCGUCCUUACUUGGAUCAGUUCGUCAUUGUAUUCAUUGAUGACAUACUUAUCUGCUCUCGUAGUGAGGAGGAGCAUAGUGAGCAUCUACAACAGAUAUUGGAAACAUUAGGAUCAGAGAAUCUCAACGCGACUUCUCUAAAUGCGAGUUUUGGAUUCGAAGAGUUGAAUUCUUGGGUCACGUUGUUAAUGAAGAGGGAAUUCAUGUGGACCCUUCCAAAAUAAAGGCCAUUGAGAACUGGUCAGCACCAAAGACGCCUACAGAAAUUCGCCAAUUUCUAGGCCUCGCUGGCUACUAUCGUAGGUUCAUUCAAAACUUCUAUAGGAUCACGAAACUGCUUACUGCAUUGACCAAGAAAGGCGUAGCCUUUGACUGGGAAGAGAAACAAGAGAAGGUGUUCCAAACGCUGAAGCGAGCCUUAUGAAGCUGACCGAUACUAUCCCUCCCAGAAGGGAUAGAAGACUUCGUGGUUUAUUGCGAUGCAUCUAACCAAGGACUCGGUUGUGUUCUAAUGCAACGAGGUAAGGUCAUCGCUUAUGCCUCAAGACAACUAAAGACACACGAGGACAACUACACCACGCAUGAUCUUAAGUUAGGAGGAGUUGUGUUUGCUCUGAAGAUUUGGAGACACUACCUGUAUGGUACGAAAAGCACUAUCUUUACAGACCACAAAAGCCUUCAACAUAUAUUCAUCCAGAAGGAGCUCAAUAUGAAACAACGACGGUGGGCCGAACUACUCAAUGACUACGAAAGCGAAAUUCAUUAUCAUCCUGGUAAAACCAACGUAGUAGCUGACGCCCUAAGUCGAAAAGAAUACUCUGGUCGUAGAGUCAAAGAGUUGACGAUGACUAUCCCUUCACAUAUGUCCACACAAACUAAAGCGGCUUAGCUCGAAGCCUUAAAACAUGAAAAUGUGGCGGGUGAAUCCCUAAGAGGGAUGGAUAAGAACUUGGAAGUCAAGGGUGUGAGAGCCUUAUAUUUCAUGGAUCGCAUUUGGACACUGAAACACGGUGGGUUCAGAGACUUGGUCAUGGCAUAAGCGCACAAUACUCGAUAUUCCGUCCACCCAGGUUCGGAUAAGAUGUAUCUGAAUCUUAAAUGCCUAUACUGGUGGCCUAACAUGAAAGCAGAGAUUGCUACCUUCGUGAGUAAAUGCCUUACUUGCUCCAAGGUUAAGGUCGAAUACCAGAAACCAUCAGGUUUACUUCAACAACCGGAGAUACCUAAGUGGAAGUGGGAGCGGAUCAUAAUGCAAUUCAUAACCAAAUUACCCAAGACAACGGGUGGUCUCGAUACCAUAUGGGUGAUCGUAGACAGGUUAACCAAGUCCGCACAUUGUUGGAUAAGGUGUCUAAGUCCAUAACUAUUUCUGGUCAGUACUUGACCCGACCCGGCAUGGUCCAUUUGGGUUGCAUGGCACCAUGCAAUUGGAUAGACUAAAUGAGAGAAAUAACACUUGGAGAUUAUUAAUAUAUUAUAAGUUCUAAUAUAUUUAUAAUAUUAUUAAAUUAGUUUGAUCAAGAAUUAAUUUAUAAUUAAUAAAGUGAUCAAAGGAUAACUAAUUAAAUAUAUGGGUUGAUUAUGUAAAUCAUCCAUAUCUUGUAUAGUGGGCUAAGAGGCUCCAUGGAUUAUCAAGUUGGGUUCCACCCAUAGGAUGCUCCAUGGAUGCUCCAUGGGAGUUACAAACCCAUGGGUCAUGGAAAUGAAGAGUCAUGACACAUUAGGGUUUACAUGGUGUAACCCUAGAUGUGUCAACACUAUAUAAGAAUCCCAUUCUCCACCAAAAUCGGCUAGACAUAUGAAACAAGAGGGCUAGGCCGAUUUCAUGAAGUGUGUAUUCUCUCAAAAGUCUUUCAAAGAGCAUUUGGUGUUGUGUGAAGCAUUUGAGGCAACCAACUUGGUGUGCUAGGCUCACAAGGUUUCAAGGAACAUAAGCAACAACAAGGUAAGUUAUCCUAUCUUACAUUCAAGUUAAAACUUGUUCCCCAUGUAUGCUAGAUAGGAAUAUAACCUUGGAAUUCAACUUUACAUGACAAUUAGACAAACAUAGAUCCAAGGUUAUUAGGGUUGCAUGUACACUUAGGAAGUGUUAGAAUACUCAAAACCCUUCAGUGGUAUCAGAGCCUAGGCUUGUUUGCUUGUUAUUUGUGCUUAAAAGUUGAAAGAAGUCGAAAAACUUGUUGUCUUCCUGAUGAACUCGCCGAGUCCAUGGGGAGACUCGCCGAGUUCACUUGUAUCUUCAACCUACUCGCCGAGUAGGCUCAUGCACUCGGCGAGUAGGACCCACAAAGUGCAGAUUUUCGACUUUAGUUGCUGGAAAUGGACUAGAAACAUUACCCUAAACUGUUUUGGUACUUGAAAACUUGUUUUAGAUGGUGUAAUGUCUUUGCUAAUCCAUUUACAACAACUAGUUAUCAAAAUUACAAAGUUUUAAGUGUAAUUUUGAUUCAUGAAAGUGUUCAUGUUCAUGUUCUUGAUCUUAUGAUGUUUAGAUGAUCAUAGGAAUUAUUUGUAACCUAUGUGGUAGUUUAAUUCUUGAUCAUAAUGUGUUUUAAUGGAGUCCAUAACUUGUCCUCAAGUUAUGGAAAACCAAAAGUCACUUGAAUUAAAACCAUUAAAAGAACACAAGAGUUAGAAAAAUGAAGAGUCUUCAUUUUUAUUACUCUAUUAAACUCAUAAGUUACAAGAAAUGAAAAGUUUUGAAAGUUUACAAAACUUGCCCUCAAGUUUUGGAACAAGUAAAGUCAUGUUAAAAACUUUAGUUCCAACCCUUAGAAUUUUAAAAGUUAAAAUUCAACCCUUAUACUUAUAUUAUUAUGAUUUAAUAAUUAUAUAUAUAUAUAUAUAAGAACAAAGUCGUCUUACCGCUAGUACGCCUCAUUCACGAAGCCGGUCUAUAAGGUGGGUAUAAGGUUGUUGCCUAUAAAAUGGUGACUUAAUGGGUGUCCACUCUCACCCACCGCUUGCUUGAUCGGUGGAGGGUCGUUAGCCGAACGGGUAAGACAAGGACUUACAAAUUCUCAUUAAAAGUAUGAUGAAUAUUAUAAAGUAACUAAAUGUUUUAUUAAAUUCCCAAUCUUAGUUACUUUAGGAAAAAUGUGAAUAAGGUGCUAGUCCAAGAAAUUAGACUUUACACUUUGUUUAAGUCGUUGGUGGACCGUGUGUGGUUAACCGGCACACUAACUUGGACUUAACAAGGUAGGUAAAGGGUGACUUAGGGUUUAUUAUAGUAUCGAUGGAGCGUGUGUGGUUAACCGGCACAUCGAUUGAGUGAUAAACUUUAAGGGUACCAAGUGAUUUGCAUGGUUACUUCACACCUCGUUUUGUGAUCCUCGGUAUCCCAGUCACAAAACUUGGAGGGCACACUCGAGAUUGAAACAUGCCUUUGAAAAGUUCAUUGAAUCUCAAAGAAUCUAGGAAUUUCUAAGAACCAUUCAAAAACCUAAUACUAAAAUAUUGCGGUUUUCGUGGUGGAAAUUGGUGAAUCGUCAUUCACCUACCUUUCAAAUAUGAUAUAGCUUAGAUUACGGCAUACCUCUUCUAAGUUAUAUUAUAUUGUGAUUGGAUCCUAGCCUUAAUAUUACAUUUGGGUGUUUUAUUAAGGACUCUCUUAUAUCUAAACUAAUCUUGUCCUCUUUCCUUCAGAUGUCUUUCAACAAUGCUUCUGGCUCUAAUCCUAAUGGCUCCUUUUCCCUUAUGAACUUGUGUGGGAAAGUCACCUUUGAUGGAUCCAACUUCAAUGAGUGGAUCAGAAACAUCAGGAUGAUUACCCGCUACGAGGACAAAGAAUAUGUCCUUGACAAGGAGCUUAAGGAGAUUGAUGAGUCCACUGCAACUCCUCAGGAGAUCGCUGAAUUUCGGGCACAUGAAAGGGAUGCUACGAAAGUGGCUUGCAUCAUGAUGGCCACGAUGACAGCGGAACUCCAAAAGUCUUAUGAGGAUUUCUACCCUUAUGAAAUGCACCAAGAUUUGAUGGAAAGAUACCAUCAAAGUGCAAGACAAGAGAGGUAUGAAAUCAUCUGCUCCAUGAUAACAACCAUGAUGAAGGACGGGGAAUCCGUCACGAGCCACAUGCAGAAAAUGCAAAGGUAUGUGGAUCGUUUGCUGAAGCUUAAUGUGAACUUCCCGGAGGAUCUUGCAAUAGAUAUUAUUUUGCAUUCCUUACCAUCGUGCUAUGAUCAAUUCCGCAUGACAUAUCACAUGAACAAGGAAGAAGUCACCCUCAGCAAACUUCAGGGACUUCUCAAGACCGCAGAAUCAGGUCUUAAGGGGAAGUCGGUUGCUAUCACUCCUACUCCAAACUCUACUCCGGUUUUGGCAAUCGGGAAAAGUCGAGGGAAGAAGAGAAAGAGCUCUUCUAAGGGUACCAAGGCUCGGACCCUUGAUGGCUCUUCUUCAAGUGGAACCAAGAAAGGUUUCAUUACUCCUUCUUCUGACCCAAAAGAGGCUGAAUGCUUCUAUUGCCAUGAAAAAGCUCAUUGGAAGCGGAACUGCCCAAAAUACCAGCAAGAUGUGAAGGAUGGGAAAGUUAAACCCAACCAUGCAGGUAUUUACACUAUCAUUUCUAAUAACUCACCCCAUUCUAAUUCUUGGGUCCUUGAUACCGGUUGUGGUAUUCACAUUUGUUGUGACUUGCAGGGACUAAGAAGAAGUGAGGAUGUGGAGCAAGGAAGGAUAAACUUGAUCAUGGGGAAUAGGAAAGCUAUACCUGUUACCAAGAUUGGAGUUUAUACUUUAUCGCUAAGUAGUGGGUUUAGUUUAGAUUUGAAUAAGUGUUGUUAUUCGCCAGGAAUGGCAAGAAAUAUUAUUUCCUUUCAUGCUUUGUACAAACAAGGGUUUACCUUUUCAUUUAAUAAUGAAGUUGGUUCUAUUGAUGCUUUCUUUAAUAAUGUUCUUUAUUUUAAAGAAUUACCUUGUGAUGGUGUGUAUGAAGCUGUGUCUUUUGUAGAUAACUUAGGAAAUAAUGUGAUGUGUAUUGAUUCUAUUAACAAUAAUAACUUGGAUAAAGCAUCAUUAUGGCAUUUUCGUCUUGGACAUAUAAGAAAGAAACGCAGAGGCCAACUCCAACAGGAUGGAGUCUUGGAGUUGUUUGACCUAAAGUCAAAUGAUAGUUGCAAAAUAUGCUUACUUGGAAAAAUGACAAUGUCACCCUUCACAGGUUCGUGUGAGAGGGGUGAAGGUUUGUUGGACCUUAUACACACGGAUGUGUGUGGACCAUUCAAACAUGCCACAAGGGAUGCUAAUCGUUAUUAUUUGACUUUUACUGAUGAUUACAGUAGAUAUGGAUAUGUCUACUUGAUCAAGCAUAAGUCAGAGACUUUCGAGAGGUUUAAGGAAUUUAAAUAGGAAGUCGAGAAUCAAUUGGGCAGGAACAUUAAGAUGCUUCGAUCCGAUCGUGGUGGUGAGUAUCUUAGUUCAGAGUUCCUUGACUAUCUAAGGGAAUGUGGGAUUGUCUCACAAUUGACACCUCCCAGGACACCACAGUUGAAUGGUGUGGCUGAGAGGCGUAAUCGAACCUUGUUGGAUAUGGUUCAUUCCAUGAUGAGUCAAACUUCGCUACCAAUCACAUUUUGGGGGUAUGCCUUAGAGACUGCUGCCCAUAUUCUUAAUCUAGUCCCUACAAAGAAAGUUGCCAAAACUCCUCACGAGAUGUGGACUGGUAAAGUACCUAAACUAGACCACAUCAAGAUUUGGGGUUGCGAGGCUUUCGUGAGACGCGAGACUCAUGAUAAGCUCGAACCCCGAAGCG
rnacentral:lncRNA from 1 species